UAAACCACCUCAGAAUGUGACAAAAUAUAGCAACGAAGAGCAAAGUUUGGAAUGAACCUUAAGAAAUUAUAGCAACAUAGCAGGAGCUGGAAUCAGAAAGACUCAAACACCGAAAUGGACUCGCUUCCCUUGGUCGUUUACCCGUUUUGAAUUUCCAAAAGGAGCAAAGUUUUUGGAACAUGAUUGGGAUAAUCAACAGAAACUGGAAACUUGGC
rnacentral:lncRNA from 1 species